rnacentral:rRNA from 1 species
GGUUAAGCGACUAAGCGUACACGGUGGAUGCCCUGGCAGUCAGAGGCGAUGAAGGACGUGCUAAUCUGCGAUAAGCGUCGGUGAGGUGAUAUGAACCGUUAUAACCGGCGAUUUCCGAAUGGGGAAACCCAGUGUGUUUCGACACACUAUCAUUAACUGAAUCCAUAGGUUAAUGAGGCGAACCGGGGGAACUGAAACAUCUAAGUACCCCGAGGAAAAGAAAUCAACCGAGAUUCCCCCAGUAGCGGCGAGCGAACGGGGAGCAGCCCAGAGCCUGAAUCAGUGUGUGUGUUAGUGG